AGUGAACGCUGGCGGUAUGCCUAACACAUGCAAGUCGAACGGCAGCACAGUAAGAGCUUGCUCUUACGGGUGGCGAGUGGCGGACGGGUGAGGAAUACCUCGGAAUCUACUUUUUCGUGGGGGAUAACGUAGGGAAACUUACGCUAAUACCGCAUACGACCUACGGGUGAAAGCAGGGGAUCUUCGGACCUUGCGCGAUUGAAUGAGCCGAUGUCGGAGUAGCUAGUUGGCGGGGUAAAGGCCCACCAAGGCGACGAUCCGUAGCUGGUCUGAGAGGAUGAUCAGCCACACUGGAACUGAGACACGGUCCAGACUCCUACGGGAGGCAGCAGUGGGGGAUAUUGGACAAUGGGCGCAAGCCUGAUCCAGCCAUACCGCGUGGGUGAAGAAGGUCUUCGGGUUGUAAAGCCCUUUUGUUGGGAAAGAAAAGCAGCAGGUUAAUACCCCGCUGUUCUGACGGUACCCAAAGAAUAAGCACCGGCUAACUUCGUG
rnacentral:rRNA from 1 species